rnacentral:hammerhead_ribozyme from 1 species
CUCAGAUGAUGAGUGCCAAAUAGGACGAAACAUGCGUUCUGGAU